UACGUAGGGUGCGAGCGUUGUCCGGAAUUAUUGGGCGUAAAGAGCUCGUAGGCGGUGUGUCACGUCGGCCGUGAAAACCUGGGGCUCAACUCUGGGCGUGCGGUCGAUACGGGCAUCACUGGAGUUCGGCAGGGGAGACUGGAAUUCCUGGUGUAGCGGUGAAAUGCGCAGAUAUCAGGAGGAAUACCGGUGGCGAAAGCGACUCUCUGGACGGCAACUGACGCUGAGGCACGAAAGCCGUGGGGAGCAAACAGG
rnacentral:rRNA from 1 species